rnacentral:lncRNA from 1 species
AGGGAAUUGAACCACUCUAGGGCCUCUCCUUUGAGAGAUAAGGAGAACGCCCGGUGUUGACAAAUUGGCAAGUGUACCAAAUCGUACAAGUAAUAUAAAUGGUAAGACCAAGUAUCGUUUUCCCAAGAGACUCGAAUGGCUUUCUCGUUUGCGUGAAUUAAAAUAAUAAUACUUGAAAAUAAAAUUUAAUAAAUUGGAUUUGAGAACAAAAAUAGUAACAUGCAAAAUAAAGUUCAUUCAAUUGACAAAAGAAAACAAUGGAUGAAUGGAUGUUGUUGGGGGUUUACAAUUUCAUCUAAUCCGCUCUCUCUUACCUACUUCUCUUGAAUAUUAGUUUGAUUAAUUAAUUGUUAUGCGACUUUCUUAGCCUCCCCUUAACCCGAUCCCUCGGCGAAAAGAGUCUAAUAUUAACUACUGGCUUGCUAUCCCUAGCCUCCCCUAGCGCAAUUGAUCGUCCUACCCUUAUCCCUAGGUGGUAUUGCAAAAUCAAGAAAUUACUCACCAGUUGAUGUCAUUACUAUACGUCCCCAUAUCAAUAAAGACA